UCGACAUAAUGAUGAUUUCAAAAGUGAACGAAUUCUAUAUUUUAUUUUUUUUAAUGUCACUGACAUACAUGUUUUUUGACAUUUUUCCAUAAUUUUUAGCAAUUAAAUGUUGUCCCAAAAUUGCUGUACCUAAUAUCAAAAUUCAAAAUAUAAUUUCAAUAAGAGCUCAUCCAUGUGACAACAUUUAUAGUACAUAUGUCGCAGGAAGAAGAAUGUGAUUUGGCAAAAUCCAAAAACCAUAUAUUUGCUAAACUCGAACAAUUACAAAAGGAAGUAGAAGAUAUCCUAGACAGAAUGAAUAUCAAUAAUUUAUUACAAAAAGAGUAUAAACCACUAUUGUUAUCAAGGAUACUCAAGUUAUUGCCUCCGAGGUUACAGAACUAUUAAAUAAACCUGAAUUAGAAGAGCUCUAUAAGCAUAUCAAUAAAAUUUAGCAUUUUAACUGUUUUAUCUUUGAAUAUUAGGUUUACGUACUUGGAAUGACUAAAAUGCACAUGUAAAUAAAUUUUAUGCUCCUA